rnacentral:rRNA from 1 species
UACAGGGGGUGCAAACGUUGCUCGGAAUCAUUGGGCGUAAAGCGCACGUAGGCGGUCUGUUAUGUCGGAUGUGAAAGCCCUUGGCUUAACUGAGGAAGUGCAUCCGAAACUGGCAGGCUAGAGUACUAAAGAGGGUCGCGGAAUUCCCGGUGUAGAGGUGAAAUUCGUAGAUAUCGGGAGGAACACCGGUGGCAGAGGCGGCGACCUGGGUAGAUACUGACGCUGAGGUGCGAAAGCGUGGGGAGCAACAGG